AUUGAACGCUGGCGGCAGGCCUAACACAUGCAAGUCGAGCGAGCGGCGGACGGGUGAGUAAUGUCUGGGAAACUGCCUGAUGGAGGGGGAUAACUACUGGAAACGGUAGCUAAUACCGCAUACCAUCGGAUGUGCCCAGAUGGGAUUAGCUUGUGGGUGAGGGAACGGCUCACCUAGGCGACGAUCCCUAGCUGGUCUGAGAGGAUGACCAGCCAAACUGGAACUGAGACACGGUCCAGACUCUGACGGGAGUCAGCAGUGGGGAAUAUUGCAAAAUGGCCGCAAGCCUGAUGCGGCCAUGCCGCGUGUAUGAAGAAGGCCUUCGGGUUGUAAAGUACUUUCAGCGGGGAGGCGUUACCCGAAGAAGAAGCACCGGCUAACUCCGUGCCAGCCGCCGCGGUAAUAC
rnacentral:rRNA from 1 species